rnacentral:rRNA from 1 species
AGAGUUUGAUCCUGGCUCAGGACGAACGCUGGCGGCGUGCUUAACACAUGCAAGUCGAGCGGAAAGGCUCCUUCGGGGGUACUCGAGCGGCGAACGGGUGAGUAACACGUGAGUAAUCUGCCCUCCACUUCGGGAUAGCCACCGGAAACGGUGAUUAAUACCGGAUAUGACCACUUCUCGCAUGGGAUGGUGGUGGAAAGUUUUUCGGUGGGGGAUGUGCUCGCGGCCUAUCAGCUUGUUGGUGGGGUAAUGGCCUACCAAGGCUUCGACGGGUAGCCGGCCUGAGAGGGUGACCGGUCACACUGGGACUGAGACACGGCCCAGACUCCUACGGGAGGCAGCAGUGGGGAAUAUUGGACAAUGGGCGGAAGCCUGAUCCAGCAACGCCGCGUGAGGGAUGACUGCCUUCGGGUUGUAAACCUCUUUCAGUACCGACGAAGCGGAAGUGACGGUAGGUACAGAAGAAGCACCGGCCAACUACGUGCCAGCCGCCGCGGUAAUAC